AGAGUUUGAUCCUGGCUCAGAACGAACGUUGGCGGCGUGCUUAACACAUGCAAGUCGAACGAGAACGGUUUCUUCGGAGACCAAGUAAAGUGGCGCACGGGUGAGUAACGCGUAGAUAACCUGUCCAGGUGUAUGGGAUAGCCCUUCGAAAGGGGGAUUAAUACCGUAUACGUUAGUCUGUUAUAAGGCAGAUUAAGAAAGGUGGCCUCUAUUUAUAAGCUAUCGCAUUUGGAGGGGUCUGCGUACCAUUAGUUUGUUGGUGGGGUAAUGGCCUACCAAGACUUCGAUGGUUAGCGGGUCUGAGAGGAUGAUCCGUCACACUGGCACUGAAACACGGGCCAGACUCCUACGGGAGGCAGCAGUGAGGAAUAUUGCGCAAUGGGGGAAACCCUGACGCAGCGACGCCGCGUGGGUGAGGAAGGCUUUCGGGUCGUAAAGCCCUGUCAGAAGGGAAGAAAUGUGUAUAAGUUAAUAUCUUAUACACUUGACGGUACCUUCAAAGGAAGCACCGGCUAACUCCGUGCCAGCAGCCGCGGUAAUACAGAGGGUGCAAGCGUUAAUCGGAAUUACUUGGGCGUAAAGCGCGCGUAGGUGGUUUGAUAAGUUGGAUGUGAAAUCCCCGGGCUUAACCUGGGUCGGUCAUUCAAAACUGUCAGACUAGAGUAUGGUAGAGGGUAGUGGAAUUCCUAGUGUAGCGGUGAAAUGCGUAGAUAUUAGGAGGAACACCAGUGGCGAAGGCGACUGCCUGGACUGAUACUGACACUGAGGUGCGAAAGCGUGGGUAGCGAACAGGAUUAGAUACCCUGGUAGUCCACGCCGUAAACGAUGACAACUAGACGUUGGGUUCCUUAGAGAAUUUAGUGUCGAAGCUAACGCGUUAAGUUGUCCGCCUGGGGAGUACGGUCGCAAGAUUAAAACUCAAAGGAAUUGACGGGGGCCCGCACAAGCGGUGGAGCAUGUGGUUUAAUUCGAUGCAACGCGAAGAACCUUACCAUCCCUUGACAUCCAGAGAAUCUGUUAGAGAUAGUAGAGUGCCUUCGGGAACUCUGAGACAGGUGCUGCAUGGCUGUCGUCAGCUCGUGUCGUGAGAUGUUGGGUUAAGUCCCGCAACGAGCGUAACCCUUGUUCUUUAGUUUGCCAGUAUUUAGUUAGGCACUCUAAAGAGACUGCCUCGGUUUAACGGGGAGGAAGGUGGGGAUGACGUCAAGUCCUCAUGGGCCUUUAUACCCAGGGGCUACACACGUGCUACAAUGGGCUGUACAAAGGGUAGCUAAUUCGCGAGGAAGCGCUAAUCCCAAAAAGCAGCUCUCAGUUCGGAUUGGAGUCUGCAACUCGACUCCAUGAAGGUGGAAUCGCUAGUAUUCGUGGAUCAGCACGCCACGGUGAAUACGUUCCCGGGCCUUGUACACACCGCCCGUCACACCACGAAAGUCGACUGUACCAGAAGUUGCUGGGCUAACUACCUUGUUACGACUUCACCCCAAUUACCGGCCGUACCUUAGGUACC
rnacentral:rRNA from 1 species